UUUUUUUGUAUUUAGCCCCUCACAAAUUUAUUUUCACAAAUAGCCCCACAAAAUAUAUAAUUACAAAAUUGGCCCUAUUCCUACCAUGCCAGCGCCACGUCAGCGCCACAUCAGCGGGUGGUUGCGAAUAAGUUGAACACGAUGAACCAUUCACCGUGUCCAAACACGGUGAAUGGUUGACCAUGUUUAAUGUAUGGCCUCAGCCCUCUGCUCUUCCAAUUACGGAGAUAACAUGGAGAUCGCAAACACAGAUGAGUUCUACUAAACACGGUGAACUAUUCGCCGUAUUUGAAAAUGGUCAAUGGUUCACUGUGUUUGGACACGAUGAAUUUAUCGUGUCCAAACACAGUGAACUAUUCACCGUGUCUAAGGGCUAACUCACCAACAGCAUGUUGUUACAUUUAAAACAACAAAUUCAAUAAAACAACACAACAACACAACAUCAACAAGACAAUAGAACAUCUAAUAACAAAUCUAACACAACAACACAACAUCAACAAGACAAUAGAACAUCCGACAACAAAUCCAACACAGCAACAUAACAACACAACAUUGAGAGAACAACACAACAAUGGAAUAACUUUACGAAAUUUACAACACAACAAUAGACAAGUUUACAACACAACAAUAGCGAACAACACAACAAAAUUUACAAAAUGUAAUAUCUUGUCCUCCUCCUAGUCCCUCUCCCUCGACCAUGUCCACGUCUAUGUCCUAACCACGACCGCGACUAA
rnacentral:lncRNA from 1 species